rnacentral:tRNA from 1 species
ACUCUAGUAGCUUAGAUCUUAAAGCAUUGUUCUUGUAAACCAAAGCCGGGCCCAACCCCUAGAGUA